UACGGAGGGGGCUAGCGUUGUUCGGAAUUACUGGGCGUAAAGCGCACGUAGGCGGCGAUCUAAGUCAGAGGUGAAAGCCCGGGGCUCAACCCCGGAAUAGCCUUUGAGACUGGAUUGCUAGAAUCCGGGAGAGGUGAGUGGAAUUCCAGGUGUAGCGGUGAAAUGCGUAGAUAUCUGGAGGAACACCGGUGGCGAAGGCGGCAUCCUGGACCGACAUUGACGCUGAGGCGCGAAAGCCAGGGGAGCAAACGGGAUUAGAAACCCUAGUAGU
rnacentral:rRNA from 1 species